UCAUGUGCGUCAUCAAAAUUCUGCCCUUCUUCGGGCUCGCAUUCGUCUUCUGUUUCCUCAAUGCUUCCGCUUCUUUCGCGAUCGUCUCGCAACUCAUCAAUAGUGUCGACCCCGCAUGUGGCAAGCUCGCUGCGCGUCUCGAGAUAUUGAUUAUCUCUAAAUCAGUCAUUUUAAAUUCUAAAAACACUGCGUAAAUUUCGUUAUAAUUUCUCAGAAACGAUCAGUGCGGGAAAAUUGUGGGCCAGGACAAAGAUUUUUGUACGGUUGAUGCGAUAAACGGCAAUUCGAGGAACGCUAGAAACGAGAAAAUAUAACAUUAUUUUAUACUGAAAUUAUCAGGGACCGAACAAACCAGACUAUGCAUCCGGGAAGAAGAUAGUUAAGGGAAUGAUGGAUAGAGGUUUCACUGUAUAUGUGUAAAACAGAGGAAAACCCACACUCAGGAUGUCUGAUCUCACCAAAUACAGGCAGCAUAUUAAGCAACAGAUGUCUCUCUGCUCAUAGACACCAUGAAAUCUACAUGGUGUCGCAACCCAGAAGAUGGCUAUGGUCAUCCUGUGACACGUUUAAAAUGGCUGCCCAAGUAUCACCAUGUGACAGACUUGCCCAUUUAGCCCACUUUUCUUUGUUAAUGAGAGCUGGCUGUGUUCUCCCUUUAAUCUUUUGUACCACUAUACCUGUUUUCUCAUGAAACCUGGUUACCAUUAUAUCACUGGAAACCACCCCAACCUCAUACUUAUUUAAUUUCUACAAUCAGUAUAAAGUAGUAAUAUGGUAAAUGUGCAGACUUGUGACAUUAGCAUUACUAAGUCUUAUAGAGCCUAGUGGUAACUAUAUGAAAGUAGAAUUUUUUAUUUAUGAGUUUUUGUAUGAUUGUUGCUGUAAACAGGAAUUAUUUCUGUGAACAAUAUUCAUAUUUUGAUCUUUGUAAAUGUGACAGGUGAUGCUUACUUUGUGGUAUGGACAGUAUCUUUAAAUAUUGUUUGCACGAAAUUCAGCUUUAAAGGGCUAAUAUAGGAUUCUGAAAUGAUGCAUGGUAAUAGAUCUUUGAAAAAUAUACAACAUUUGUUUAGAUAAUUUCUUUGUAAAAUAUAAAAAAAUUCUCUAACUUUCAGUUUGACAAUGAUAAGUAAUAAACUAUUGGACAUGGCUCAUUAAAUUUAAUAUUGUGGUAGAAAAUAAAAUGAUGAUGAUAGUAUUAA